GGUGAACGCUGGCGGUAGGCCUAACACAUGCAAGUCGAACGGCAGCACAGUAAGAGCUUGCUCUUACGGGUGGCGAGUGUCGGACGGGUGAGGAAUACAUCGGAAUCUACUUUUUCGUGGGGGAUAACGUAGGGAAACUUACGCUAAUACCGCAUACGACCUACGGGUGAAAGCAGGGGAUCUUCGGACCUUGCGCGAUUGAAUGAGCCGAUGUCGGAUUAGCUAGUUGGCGGGGUAAAGGCCCACCAAGGCGACGAUCCGUAGCUGGUCUGAGAGGAUGAUCAGCCACACUGGAGCUGAGACACGGUCCAGACUCCUACGGGAGGCAGCAGUGGGGAAUAUUGGACAAUGGGCGCAAGCCUGAUCCAGCCAUACCGCGUGGGUGAAGAAGGUCUUCGGGUUGUAAAGCCCUUUUGUUGGGAAAGAAAAGCAGCAGGUUAAUACCCCGCUGUUCUGACGGUACCCAAAGAAUAAGCACCGGCUAACUUCGUG
rnacentral:rRNA from 1 species